UCCGAAUUGGUGUAAUGGUUAACAUUUGACGCUCUCAAGGCCUCUUGAUCGGUUUCCGUCAAGCUCGGGGUUCGAUUCCCCGAUUCGGAG